rnacentral:lncRNA from 1 species
GGCCGGAGGGACCCCCCCCAACCUCCGCCCUAUAGAUCCCAAAAGCGGGGGGGGGGGAAUGGGAUGUGGGGUGGGACCCCAUUGGGAUCCCAUAGGGGGAGUGGGGGCGAAAUGUGUGGGGCAAUGGGGUGUGGGGUGGGACCCCAUUGGGGGACCCCAUAAGGUUUGGGGUUCUCCAUCAGUGGGGUCCCAGCAGAGGAAUGGGGACCCCAAACUGUGGGGCAAUGGGAUGUGGGGUGGGACCCCAUUGGGAUCCCAUUGGGGGAGUGGGGGCUCAAUGUGUGGGGCAAUGGGGUGUGGGGUGGGACCCCAUUGGGGGACCCCAUAAGGUUUGGAGUUCUCCAUCAGUGGGGUCCCAGCAGAGGAAUGGGGACCCCAAACUGUGGGGCAAUGGGAUGUGGGGUGGGACCCCAUUGGGAUCCCAUUGGUGGGGGAAUGGGGGCUCAAUGUGUGGGGCAAUGGGGUGUGGGGUGGGACCCCAUUGGGGGACCCCAUAAACUUUGGGGUUCACCAUAUUGGGGGCUCAAUGUGUGGGGUAAUGGGAUGUGGGGUGGGGUGGGACCCCAUUGGGAUCCCAUGGGAGGGGAAUGGGGGCUCAAUGUGUGGGGCAAUGGAGUGUGGGGUGGGACCCCAUUGGGGGACCCCAUAAGGUUUGGGGUUCUCCAUAUGGAGGUCCCAUUGGGAGGGGAAUGGGGUCCCAAUGUGUGGGGUAAUGGGAUAUGGGGUGGGGUGGGACCCCAUUGGGAUCCCAUAGGGGGAGUGGGGGCGAAAUGUGUGGGGCAAUGGGGUGUGGGGUGGGACCCCAUUGGGGGACCCCAUAAGGUUUGGGGUUCUCCAUAUGGAGGUCCCAUUGGGAGGGGAAUGGGGACCCCAAUGUGUGGGGAAAUGGGGUGUGGGGUGGGACCCCACUGGGGGACCCCAUAAACUUUGGGUCCUCUAUUAGUGGGAUUUUGGGGUCCCCCAUUAUAGGGCUAUGGGGUGACCCCA